GUGAAUCAUCGAAUCUUUGAACGCAAAUUGCACUCCUUUCGGAGAGUAUGCCUGUUUGAGGGUCAGCCUAAAAAAAACCGACAUAGCCGCUGUUUUGUGGUGUCAUUUGUUGGAAAUUGGGUCUUGUUAAACCUUUGGGCUUUAAGCGGCCUAAACUUUUUGUUAUGACUCCAUGUACGUUUUUAAGAUUU
rnacentral:misc_RNA from 1 species